rnacentral:rRNA from 1 species
GGCCGUCGUCAGUUCGUACUGUGAAGCAUCCUGUUAAGUCAGGCAACGAGCGAGACCCACGCCAACAGUUGCCAGCUCGUCCUCCGGGAUGGUGGGGACACUGUUGGGACCGCCUCUGCUAAAGAGGAGGAAGGAAUGGGCAACGGUAGGUCAGCAUGCCCCGAAUUAUCUGGGCUACACGCGGGCUACAAUGGGUGGGACAAUGGGUAUCGACACCGAAAGGUGAAGGCAAUCUCCUAAACCCAUCCGUAGUUCGGAUUGUGGGCUGCAACUCGCCCACAUGAAGCUGGAAUCUGUAGUAAUCGUGUCUCAAAAUGGCACGGUGAAUAUGUCCCUGCUCCUU